rnacentral:rRNA from 1 species
GACGAACGCUGGCGGCGUGCUUAACACAUGCAAGUCGAACGGAAAGGCCCUGCUUUUGUGGGGUGCUCGAGUGGCGAACGGGUGAGUAACACGUGAGUAACCUGCCCUUGACUUUGGGAUAACUUCAGGAAACUGGGGCUAAUACCGGAUAGGAGCUCCUGCUGCAUGGUGGGGGUUGGAAAGUUUCGGCGGUUGGGGAUGGACUCGCGGCUUAUCAGCUUGUUGGUGGGGUAGUGGCUUACCAAGGCUUUGACGGGUAGCCGGCCUGAGAGGGUGACCGGCCACAUUGGGACUGAGAUACGGCCCAGACUCCUACGGGAGGCAGCAGUGGGGAAUAUUGCACAAUGGGCGGAAGCCUGAUGUAGCAACGCCGCGUGCGGGAUGACGGCCUUCGGGUUGUAACCCGCUUUCGCCUGUGACGAAGCGUGAGUGACGGUAAUGGGUAAAGAAGCACCGGCUAACUACGUG